rnacentral:rRNA from 1 species
GACGAACGCUGGCGGCGUGCUUAACACAUGCAAGUCGAACGGAAAGGCCCUGCUUUUGUGGGGUGCUCGAGUGGCGAACGGGUGAGUAACACGUGAGUAACCUGCCCUUGACUUUGGGAUAACUUCAGGAAACUGGGGCUAAUACCGGAUAGGAGCUCCUGCUGCAUGGUGGGGGUUGGAAAGUUUCGGCGGUUGGGGAUGGACUCGCGGCUUAUCAGCUUGUUGGUGGGGUAGUGGCUUACCAAGGCUUUGACGGGUAGCCGGCCUGAGAGGGUGACCGGCCACAUUGGGACUGAGAUACAGCGCAGACUCCUACGGGAGGCAGCAGUGGGGAAUAUUGCACAAUGGGCGGAAGCCUGAUGCAGCAACGCCGCGUGCGGGAUGACGGCCUUCGGGUUGUAAACCGCUUUCGCCUGUGACGAAGCGUGAGUGACGGUAAUGGGUAAAGAAGCACCGGCUAACUACGUG